rnacentral:lncRNA from 1 species
AGAAUACAGGAUUUGUUCAGAUUAUGUUGUAAAACUUAUUUCUUGUUGUAAUCCCAAGACUGACAGAGUGUGAGAAUGCCUUGUUUUCUAUUACUGGAGGGCCCACUACACCGCUGAACAAAAGCCGUUUGGAGUGGCUUCCUUCGGACAUGCUGUGAAGUUUUAACAGCAGGGUUGGAAAAGUCUUGGGUUCUGUUGCUGGUGAAGAUCCCAUGUGGCUUGUAGGAGCGCUGCGGCCUUAUAAUCUCUGCCGUGGCUCACAGCUGCAGUUUGAUGCUGUGUUCGCCGUAGAGCAGUAGUUCUCUACGUGUGGGCCGUGACCCUUUUGGGAGCCACACCUCAGAUAGUUACCUUACAAUUCAUAACGGUAGCAAAAUUAGUUAUGAAGUAGCAACAUAGAAAAUUUUAUGGUUGGGGUCACCCAAGGAUAAAGAACUGUAUUAAAGGGUCAUAGUGUUUGGAAGGUUGAGGACCAGUGAAUUAAGUGGAAUUUUUACACUAAGAGAGUGGUAGAACCAGGAUGCAGGCAGUGUACACAUUGUUGGGGAGCUGCAGGCUCAGUUCUCAGGACAGGACCUGGAUGCGGGCAGAGUGCAGUGUUGGGGAGCUGUGGGUAACAGUCACUUAAGUGGGUUGAUCAAAACGUGAACACUACCUCCAUGCCAGACAAGGGCCUUGCUGAUGAUACAGGGACGGCAAGAUUGGAACACGGCAACAGCUCUGAAGCCUGUGGCCCUGACCAGUGAGCCCCGCCUUCUCACAGGCUGCCAGCACCCAGGCAGCUGUCCCGCCUCUGUCUGCACCUGCUCUAGCCGGCCAGCAGCAUCUUCAUCAGUUGGGAUUGGGAUUGGAGCCUGAGCUGCCGGUGUCUGUAGUUUAUCUAAUUUCGCUGGUGGCAUUCGCACCACCCUCUGCUGCUGCGGUUCGUUUAUAUGUGACAAAGGUGGAGAAGUGUGGUUCUUUUUUGUCUAUAAAAAAUUAUUACCCUUUUCACUUA